rnacentral:other from 1 species
CAUGCCCUGCCGUGUUCGUGAUGCGCGGAAACCGGAUUUGGCCCAACUUUCCCCAAAGGGAGCCGGGUAUUCCGUCGGGCGACGCGAUAGGCGAAAGCCAAGGCGGAACCCGGCGGCUAGGCUCCCACGUGCCGAGAUCGGCGCAAAUCCGGGGUCGCACACGGCACGGCGGGGAUUUU